UGUGCCAGCAGCCGCGGUGAUACGGAGGGGGAAGCGUUAAUCGGAAUUACUGGGCGUAAAGCGCACGCAGGCGGUUUGUUAAGUCAGAUGUGAAAUCCCCGGGCUCAACCUGGGAACUGCAUCUGAUACUGGCAAGCUUGAGUCUCGUAGAGGGGGGUAGAAUUCCAGGUGUAGCGGUGAAAUGCGUAGAGAUCUGGAGGAAUACCGGUGGCGAAGGCGGCCCCCUGGACGAAGACUGACGCUCAGGUGCGAAAGCGUGGGGAGCAAACAGGAUUAGAUACCCUGGUAGUCCACGCCGUAAACGAUGUCGACUUGGAGGUUGUGCCCUUGAGGCGUGGCUUCCGGAGCUAACGCGUUAAGUCGACCGCCUGGGGAGUACGGCCGCAAGGUUAAAACUCAAAUGAAUUGACGGGGGCCCGCACAAGCGGUGGAGCAUGUGGUUUAAUUCGAUGCAACGCGAAGAACCUUACCUGGUCUUGACAUCCACGGAAGUUUUCAGAGAUGAGAAUGUGCCUUCGGGAACCGUGAGACAGGUGCUGCAUGGCUGUCGUCAGCUCGUGUUGUGAAAUGUUGGGUUAAGUCCCGCAACGAGCGCAACCCUUAUCCUUUGUUGCCAGCGGUCCGGCCGGGAACUCAAAGGAGACUGCCAGUGAUAAAUUGGAGGAAGGUGGGGAUGACGUCAAGUCAUCAUGGCCCUUACGACCAGGGCUACACACGUGCUACAAUGGCGCAUACAAAGAGAAGCGACCUCGCGAGAGCAAGCGGACCUCAUAAAGUGCGUCGUAGUCCGGAUUGGAGUCUGCAACUCGACUCCAUGAAGUCGGAAUCGCUAGUAAUCGUGGAUCAGAAUGCCACGGUGAAUACGUUCCCGGGCCUUGUACACACCGCCCGUCACACCAUGGGAGUGGGUUGCAAAAGAAGUAGGUAGCUUAACCUUCGGGAGGGCGCUUACCACUUUGUGAUUCAUGACUGGGGUGAAGUCGUAACAAGGUAACCGA
rnacentral:rRNA from 1 species